rnacentral:snRNA from 1 species
GGAUGUGAGGGCGAUCUGGCUGUGACAUCUGUCACUCCAUUGGUUGCCAGGGUUGAUUCAGCUGAUCUGGUUGGCCAGGCGGGUGUCCCACUCCUCCCUCACCGCUCCAUGUAUGUCCCUCCUUGCCUUCCCCAAAUAGAGACGGACCAGUCUUUGGCUGAGGAUAUACGAGUAGCUGAAUCCCCUGCUAGAACCUCCAAAAUAGCUCUCAAGACUUUCUUCUGUAAGAAAAUUUUAGUUAAAAACCACUGAGAUGCCCAGGUAUUUACACUAGAACAUUUUCCAU